rnacentral:rRNA from 1 species
UGGGGAAUUUUGGACAAUGGGCGAAAGCCUGAUCCAGCAAUGCCGCGUGUGUGAAGAAGGCCUUCGGGUUGUAAAGCACUUUUGUCCGGAAAGAAAUGGCUCUGGUUAAUACCUGGGGUCGAUGACGGUACCGGAAGAAUAAGGACCGGCUAACUACGUGCCAGCAGCCGGUAAUACGUAGGGUCCAAGCGUUAAUCGGAAUUACUGGGCGUAAAGCGUGCGCAGGCGGUUGUGCAAGACCGAUGUGAAAUCCCCGAGCUUAACUUGGGAAUUGCAUUGGUGACUGCACGGCUAGAGUGUGUCAGAGGGGGGUAGAAUUCCACGUGUAGCAGUGAAAUGCGUAGAGAUGUGGAGGAAUACCGAUGGCGAAGGCAGCCCCCUGGGAUAACACUGACGCUCAUGCACGAAAGCGUGGGGAGCAAACAGG